AUUUCAUAAACAAAUUCCCAUCGUAGCAAGUUAGUUUUAAACGUUAAAUAUGUUUGUUGGUUACCAUGGCUAUUUUAUUUCAGCCCCAGUUGUAAAAAACCCUUUGAACCCUCAUUGACUGGAGCCAAAGACUUUUGUCAAUGGUUAUCCCACACAGAACUGGAAAAGGAGCAGCAUGGGGAUAUAUGGGCUAUGCAGGACUGAAUAUCCAGGAGUAAAAGGGCAUAAAAUGAAAAUCACCUGAGAGCAGGAGCCAAGCAUUUUGGGGGCGUUUAAAAUGCAAAGUUAAUAUGGGUUGAGGACAUGUGGCUUGUGUAAAUAUUUUUUCUUAAUUAGGCCGCACCAAAACACAAAAAAAGCUGCAAGUUUGCCCAAAAGCGCGUGAAAAGUGCCAAGCUCAUUUUGUAAAAUAAACAUAAGCAUUCCAUUAAGACCACAUAAGUGUGUGUUUUCCUUAGAGAAGCGUUAUAAAUGAGAUAAGAUGUAAUGUUUAAAAUGUAAAUUCUCUCCCGCUUUAAAACAAGUUAACAUUUAAUCUUUAACUUCGUUAUGGUCAGGAAUGGCGAUAUAUUUUUAAUUUCAUCAAUUCGAUUAACAAUAAAACGUCACAAAGGCAAGAAAUCAAAAGAGAAAUAUGCAAUCACGCUGAAAAUAUUUGCAUACGCUCAAACCCCCGAAACUCUCCUUUUUUCAACCGGAAACGGAAGUAAACAAUGGCCAGCGACCCGGCGCAAAAAGGCACAGACUCCACCGUUUCCCCCCUUCCCCCGAAAAUAACCGAAAGCGUUCCAAUAAAAAUGCAGCGAACAAUAACGAAAAGAGCUGAAACCCCAAUAAAAAACCCAGAACCAAAGAAAUAAGUCAAGGCAAAAAGGAAGAAGUGCCCCGCCAUUGAUGAUGAAAAAUCGAAAAUGGAUGCUCGUUUUUGGAUUGCCCAUCCAUUGUUGUUGGCCCGGCGAACGGAACUUCAAAAAAUGGGAAAAAAGUCAAAUGAAAAUGCUGAAGACAAUAAAAGGAAAACGCUUUCCACGAUGGGAAAA
rnacentral:sRNA from 1 species